AGUGUGUGUUCAAGAACUCGGAUUAGAUCCCGAGAAAGUUAAUGUAAAUGGCGGUGCUAUUGCCUUAGGUCAUCCUGUUGGCAUGUCAGGAACAAGAAUACUGGUCACUCUGUUACACACUUUAGAGAGAACAGGAAAGAAAAAGGGUGUCGCAUCUUUGUGUAUAGGAGGGGGAAUGGGCAUUGCCAUUGCUGUUGAAAGAACAUAACGAAUGUCUUCCUUAUUUAUAUAUAUAUUAUAUAUCUUAUAUAAAAUUUAUUAUAUUUUUAUUAAAGCGUUUCUCGCUAAAAAUGGCCUUUCUUUUACGUUAUACAUUAAAUAAAGGAAUAUUACUAUGUUCUGUA